UCGACAACCUGGUUGAUCCUGCCAGUAUGAUAUGCUUGUUUCCGAGAUUAAGCCAUGCAUGCUUUCUUGAAUAAACGUUCUAAUUUAUUCAAACCUUGGAUAGUGGACGGUGAAUCUGCGAAAAGCUCCAUAAUACUGUUAUAACUCUCCCAAUUAAACGUAGACUUCUACCAAUAUAAGUAGCAAGUCUUCCUUCUUUUGAUCCCCUUUCUCAAAGAGGCUCUCAAUUGGAUGGAAAACUUAUACGGAUAUCCGGUGGAAAUUCUACGGCUAAUACGUGCUCCUUGGUUCUUCAUUUCAUUCUUAGUACUAGUAGGGCCCUUUAACUUGAAUAUCCUUCGGGGUACUCAUUGUUUCUUGUCUCUAUUACUAUUUGGGGGUGGGGUGGAAGCCAUGAAAUUCUUUAAAAAUCUCUUGAUAAGUUCGAACUCAUACUCUUGGUUGAGUAUGGCUUUUGAUUUUUCAAGGUGAUUCUGGUUCUUGGUCGACUGAGAAAUACUCUUGCUUUAGUAGUAAUUCCUUAACUGGUCUAACUGCUAUUCAAGAGCCUCUUUCUUAGUAAGUUGGAGAGGUUUCAGAUCUAUCAUACUAGUGAACAGGGUAUUGACCUGCUCAGGUUAUAACAGAUACGGGGAAUUAGGGUUUGAUUCCGGAGAGGAAGCCUAAAAAACCGCUUCCACUUCCAAGGAAGGCAGCAGGCGCGUAACGUUUCCAAUGACUAAGUUUGUUGAGAACGUUAGGAAACAUAUGGGACUAGGCUAUUUAGUCUAGAAUACCCGAAUGAGGGCAAUCCAAACAACUCACCUAGUAACAAUUAGUGGGAAAGUCUGGUGCCAGCAUCCGCGGUAAUUCCAGCACUAAUAGCAUAUUAUUUUGCUGUUGCAGUUGAAACAUUCGUAGUCGAACUUUGGUUUUUUAUGCACUCGGAGAGAAGAUUGUGCUCUUAUCUGUUUCCUUCAGUCUGAGAAAAUAGGUCUUUCACUGGGUUUCCUGGUGGGUUAGAAGAAAUUUAUUUCUUCUUUCUUUCCACUUGUUAGCCCAAAGGCUAGACUUUGACUCUUACUCAAGAGCUUAUAAUCACAUUCCGAUUCAAAGAGUUGUUGAGAAAGCCAAUCACUGUCUGGACUAGCCAACUUCCUUUCACUAGGCAGGUUGGUUACUUCAGAUAACUUACCUUGAGACAAUAAACUGGCUCAAAGUAAGUCUUCCUUUCGUGACAUUGAAUUCACUAGCAUGGGAUAAUUUAUCUUUCUGAUAAGUUGGUUCUCUGUCAGAGGGAAGGUGGUUAAAAGGGGUAGAGGGGGUCAGCCAAGCUAUGGGGCGAGGGGUGAAAUCCGUUGACCCUCAUAGAUUGACCACGAGCGAAAGCGGCUGGCUACGAUAUCUCUUUUGAUCAAGAAUGGGAGUGGGGGGAUCGAAAAUGAUUAGAUACCGUUGUAGUCCCCACAGCAAAAGUUGUCAACCACCCGUGGGAUGACAAUCUACCAGACUUCUUCCAUAUGUCAAUAAAAGUUACUAAGUUGACUCUGGGGGGAGUAUGGUCGCAAGUCUGAAACUUAAAGGAAUUGACGGAGGAGCACACAAGGAGUGGAACCUGCGGCUUAAUUUGACUCAACACGGGGAAUCUUACGGAGAUCAAAGGAGGUAUGAUAGACACAAUAAAGUUGUUUCUUGACUUCUUCCAUCGGUGGUGCAUGGCCGUUCUUAGUUCGUGUAGUGGUAUGUCUGGUCAACUCCGCUAACGAGCAAGACGCAAAACUUUCUCAUUAGGUUCUGGAUGUCGAAAGCAUUUGAGUGGGUUAUCUCUGUAAGACUACCAAUCUCCUUCUAUUAAUAGACUUUUCUCCGGGAACUUCUAGUCUUAGUUGGAGUUUGGAAUCCUAGCUUAUUCAGUAAUUUGCUCAAGUGCUAUUCAGGACUCUAGUCUGAGAGUGACAAACGAUUUAAAACCGUUGGAAGUAUUGUGCUAUAACAGGUCAGUGAUGCCCUAAGAUAUCUCCGGCUGCACGCGCGUUACUUUAGUAUGAGUAGCUAGACCACGGCAAGAAAUUGCUUGUGUAAUCUAGAAUUCAUCACUAAGGUAAGGAUUGCUUUGUUCCACUCAAACCAUGAAUAUGGAAUUUCUAGUAAGCGCUAGUUCACAAAACUGCGCUGACUUUGUCCCUGCUCCUUGUACACACCGCCCGUCGCUCCUACCGAUGAGUGGCUUGCUAAAGAUACCAGAGAAAAAUUAGAGAAGACUGUGAAAAAGAAAAAAAGCUUGCUUUCUCUCUUUUUUACAGAGACCUCUACAUUUUUUCGAAGGUUUCUGGACCAAGACACUUAGAGGAAGGAGAAGUCGUAACAAGGUAGCUGUAGGUGAACCUGCAGAAGGAUCAAGCUUGGAUCCCGGG
rnacentral:rRNA from 1 species